AUAUGUGCAGUGUCACAUGUUAAGUGUAAAUUGCCACAUGACCAGAGCUGUUUACUUCCUGGUUGCACCAUGAGAAGACGAUGGCUGCAUUAAAGCUCCCAAACAAAAGUUUCACUUUGAGUCAAGUUCUGGAUAUGUUGGAUCUAGGUGACUGCUCAGACAAGGCGUGCAACAUUGCAGUUAUCCCUCAGAGAUUGUGAUAGCGAUGGGUCAGAUAUGGACUAUUAGGGGGAGACAGGCCAUUUGCCAGCCAGGCUGUUGAAUGUAUAUGCUGAACCUAUGCAAACUGAUCAUGACAGGAACAACGUUAUCAGUGAUGAUGACCUACCCCUCACCACCCCACACUCUCCUCCCUGAGACUGGGUUGGGUCAUGGACCCAGUGUCGUUCUUGGGGUUGCAGAGCAAUCUCAGGUGCCUCAAGGUUGCAAGUUCCUUCAUGACAACCUCUUCACUUCGCUUGCACUCCUCGAUGAAAUGACAAAAAGAGGAUAUGGGAGCUCUAGAACGAUGAGGCAAAAUCGUCUGUUUGAUGUCCCAUUUAAGCCACAGAAGAACUUCAUGAAGUUACCCCGUGGAAUCUCUGAAGUUCUGACCCAAGGAGACAAGUUGCUGGUCCAUUAGAAAGACAAUAACAUUGUCACAGUGGGAACAAACACGAAGGAAAAAUACAGUAGUGAGACCUCUGUCAAGAGAUGGAACAAGGAGCGACGUGCCUUUGACAAAGUCCCACAACCAAAAUGCAUCAACCUAUACAAUGAGCACAUGGGUGGUGUUGAACUUCACAACCUACAGGUUUCAAGAUAGCAUAUCUCCAUCAGGUCUAAGAAGUGGUGGUGGCCCAUCUUUGCAUGGUCUCUCAACAGUGCACUCGUAAAACAGCCAUUUAUUUUACAGAGAUGUCAUGGGAGGGACCAUCAACCUGCUCACCUUCUCAUGGAUAGUGGGCCAGUCUCUUAUGCAAAAGUUUGGCACGAAACCACUGAGCCAACGAAGGAAAACUCUACUGGCUGCUACUAUUGAAGAUCAGGCAAGAUAUGACAAAGCUUUUCACUGGCCAAUCAACACGAUGCACCGGUUCCAUAGAUGUCGUCAUUGUGACAAACGCACUACAUAUGCAUGUGAGAAAUGCAAAGCGCCACUGCACAUUGAGUGCUUCAAGAUAUACCAUGGACAGUAGAAAAGGAGAUAAGAGCGAAUGAAAAAGGGC